rnacentral:rRNA from 1 species
AUGGUGCUGAGAGGGGAAGAUUUUGUGGAUCAAUUCGGACCCUGGGGGGAGCUAGACAGGCUAGGCAUGACAGGGAUUUGGAGAGCGCUAAAUUGGCUAGAGAACAAGAUGUAUAGAGGAGCGAAGAAUCGAUGGAGAGCUAUUCCGGACCCAAACUUGAUGGUGGAGAUUAUGAUGAAGGACCACCACAACAUGAUAGACUUUGAGUGUGUGAGGAGAAUGCUUUGUGAAGAGUACACUGGGUACAACCUUCGAAAUGUGGAGCAGCUACUAAUGUUGAUGAACGACAUGGAGAGCUGGUCAGUAUAUGCUGUGAACUUGAAGAUGAAGAAGGUGGUCAUCAUGGAUCCAUCUGAUUGCAAUGCUGAUGACUCUACAACAAAAGAUAGGCACUGGCGUAAUUUAAAUAAACUUCUGAAGGGGUUGAUUCAUUGCAUCAAUGAAUGCUUCCCGGGGUGGGAAAUGACAAGGCAGGGCUGGCAAGCGGAGUACAAAUAUGAUCUACAUGAACGUUGCUCCAGGUAA